AGCGCAGGUGGUUGUAUAAGUCUGAAGUAAAAGGCAGUGGCUCAACCAUUGUGUGCUUUGGAAACUGUACAACUUGAGUGCAGAAGGGGAGAGUGGAAUUCCAUGUGUAGCGGUGAAAUGCGUAGAUAUAUGGAGGAACACCGGUGGCGAAAGCGGCUCUCUGGUCUGUAACUGAUACUGAGGCUGAAAGCGUGGGGAGCAAACA
rnacentral:rRNA from 1 species